AGAUUGAACGCUGGCGGCAUGCCUUACACAUGCAAGUCGAACGGCAGCACGGGGGCAACCCUGGUGGCGAGUGGCGAACGGGUGAGUAAUAUAUCGGAACGUACCCUGGAGUGGGGGAUAACGCAGCGAAAGUUGCGCUAAUACCGCAUACGAUCUACGGAUGAAAGUGGGGGAUUCGCAAGAGCCUCAUGCUCGUGGAGCGGCCGAUAUCUGAUUUAGCUAGUUGGUAGGUAAAAGCUACCAAGGCAUCGAUCAGUAGCUGGUCUGAGAGGACGACCAGCCGACACUGGAACUGAGACACGGUCCAGACUCCUACGGAGGCAGCAGUGGGAAUUUGGACAAUGGGGGCAACCCGUGAUCCAGCAAGUGACCGCGUGACGUGAAGAAGGCCUUAGGUUGUAAGUCUCGUUUGUCAGGAAGAAACGGUUGGAGGCCGAACUACCCUCCGCUAAUACGACGUACCACGUAGAA
rnacentral:rRNA from 1 species